AUGUGAAACCCCAGGGAGACAGUAAUACAAAUGUAAUACAAAUGACAAGUGUUUUUGAAGUGAGACAAAGUUUAAGGGGCACUAUUGGAACAGAUUCAGGACUGUGCUACUGUAAUUAAUGUCAUUGACAUUAAUCAUUAAUCUUUCUUUCAGAGCACAAUAAGGUCAAUGCCCAACCAAUGAACACCUCAGUGGAGUCAUUUCCUGAAGUUGAUGAUGUAACAUACAUACUGUGGUCACCAACUAAGAGCAGAACCCUACAAAAAGUACAGACCAAGGCAGCAGAUCCAGGUGAUAAUGUGGUCUACAGCUCACGAGCCCUACACCAGAGAGAGGUUUCUGUUGGCUACUAGUGGGUUACUGAAGGUUCAUUUUCUCACCAGCAGGAUAGGCUUUUUUUCAAUUUCUGAGAAAUUCUUACAAAGUAAAAGC
ensembl:lncRNA